rnacentral:rRNA from 1 species
GACGAACGCUGGCGGCGUGCCUAAUACAUGCAAGUUGAGCGCUGAAGGUUGGUACUUGUACCAACUGGAUGAGCAGCGAACGGGUGAGUAACGCGUGGGGAAUCUGCCUUUGAGCGGGGGACAACAUUUGGAAACGAAUGCUAAUACCGCAUAAAAACUUUAAACACAAGUUUUAAGUUUGAAAGAUGCAAUUGCAUCACUCAAAGAUGAUCCCGCGUUGUAUUAGCUAGUUGGUGAGGUAAAGGCUCACCAAGGCGAUGAUACAUAGCCGACCUGAGAGGGUGGUCGGCCAAAUUGGGACUGAGACACGGCCCAAACUCCUACGGGAGGCAGCAGUAGGGAAUCUUCGGCAAUGGACGAAAGUCUGACCGAGCAACGCCGCGUGAGUGAAGAAGGUGUUCGGAUCGUAAAACUCUGUUGGUAGAGAAGAACGUUGGUGAGAGUGGAAAGCUCAUCAAGUGACGGUAACUACCCAGAAAGGGACGGCUAACUACGUG